UGUCGCUGUCAGGAUGAAAAAUUAGGAAAUCAUUGUGGACUUUCCAAUGGUUUUCAUUGCUAUUGGUCUUAGGCAGAAAAAGUCGUUGUUUGUGACUUCCUGUGAAUUCAAACAAUUCGACAGAUAAAUGGGGAAAAAGCAAGUAAUGGUGCCGGUUAAUGAAGUAGACCUCACCGUAGUGAAAUAUGUGCCGGAAAAAUUUGAAGCUCCACAUUUGACUGGUUUUUGGUUCAAGUUGUUUGUUAAAGUAAUGGAGGCACCCUUAAUUACCAGUCACCUGAAGCAGAAGAAUGGAAUGACUGAGAUUCUCAAGAAAACCGUGAUCCCGGAGGUGCCCAUGUUCAUUCCCUAGUUCCCUCUUCAAGCUGGAAAGAAGCAUAACACUGUGGGCAUUCCAUGAUUUUGUUGAAGUUGGAAUUCAGGAAUUAUUAAGGUGCUUUUCUAAUGUUACUGACUUAUUUAGUAUAUAUAUGAGUUUAGAUCCAGAGCCUGGUGUUGUUUGCUUAGAAGAAAAAACGGGUUGAAAUGUCUUUCACAUUAUGAUCAAUGAUGUAGCAGUUGGAAUUCUGGUUCAGGAGAAUUCGUGACUUUCCAUUGAUUGUUCCUAUUUUGGUCAUCUUCAAGAAUAAUAAAAAGCUCUAUUGUGCUAAAGGUUGCAGAGCACUUUAUCUCAGCAAUAGAGAUACUUAAUGAUAAGCAGCCCUCAGGAGGUGGAGGUGACAAGGCAAGCUGCAGCUUCCACUCAGUUUGUUAUUAAUUUCUUGAUGCGCAUAAAUUGGCUGUUCUGAGAAUCUACGCACAUGCCAUCAAAUAAAAUAUGAAAAUUUAUAUUAAUUUCCUGCAAAUAAAGCAUAUCUUGAAUUGCUGUGCCAAGUCUGUAGAUCUCGUUACUCUCAAGUGUUUUUCUUUUCAUCUGUUUUUGUUUUAUUCCGAUGUGAUCAUGGAGGAAUACCGUUGUCGAUCUUGGAUGGGAUUUUAAUUGCAGUCAAGGAUGACAUUGAUUGCUAUUCUCAUCCUUCAAAGGGUGGUUCUACAUGGUUUAUGAGGUUCGCCAGGUAAAGGCAGAUGCAGUGGCGUUGGAGAUAGCAUUCUAUGUCAUGAGUUACCAAG